rnacentral:rRNA from 1 species
CCGCGUGGGGAUGACGCUUUUCGGAGUGUAAACCCCUUUCGAUCGGGAACGAAUGCCUCGCAAGAGGAGUGACGGUACCGGUAGAAGAACGCCCCGGCUAACUACGUGC